AUCGUUAAUGGCGGAAAACUCUCUCAUCAUCAAGCACUAACGACUCAUCCUAGCUCCACCAUACUCCGUUCUAAACCCAAAUUCCUUCGAAAAAGAACGGUUUUAACUUCUCAACUCGUCAUCGUUAAUGGUGGAAAACUCUCUCAUCAUCAAGCACUAAUGACUAAUCCUAGCUCCAUACUCCGUUCUAAACCCAAAUUCCUUCAGAACCCCUGACGAAACCCUAGAAUUUUCCAGCAACCCCGACGUCCAAUUCGUCUUCAUGAGAGCCCCAAAUCCUUCAUUGGAGACCCAAAACCCUGAUUCCCCUCGCCCCUCCUCCCCCUCUUUGCCCAUCAAAACCUCUCCUUUCACCUCCAGAGAGCUAAACCAUCGAUCAGCAACCUCCUCAAGCGCGGGUCCCACCCAAGUAUGGCUCAGAACAGAGAGGACGGUGAAGAGAGGGUCUAGAUGCGAGGGAUGGGAUCAGAUGGGUGGGUCUUUCAGGUGGAACCUAAUCAAGAAUUGAAAGGGUUGAUAUGUGAGGAGCAGGUGUACUUUCAUUAAAGGUUUUGGAGGAUAUAUUUUGUGAUGCAUAUGUUCUGCCCAGAAGGCGGCUCUAAUGAUCUGCUGAUCAUAAAAGUGAGAUUGGUUCAUGACCAAGUGUACCUGCUAUGCCUUCAGUGCGAACACUUUCGCAAAAGGUGUGCAUGUGCGGGUGUGCAAGUGGCUCAACUCUCAUGAAGGGAGAAUGGUGCCAUUGUAUUCAGGCAGUAACCCUACUCUUAACUCCGGCCAAGCAAUCACAAGCCUAGCCCAGGCUGUUCUCUUCCUUGCGUAUAUUUUCUCUGCAUAGAUGUAUCCUUAGCCUUCAGUUUCUUCUAGGUGAUCCUGCUCAUGUUGGGCGAAGCUUUGGAUACAGGUUAGAUAUAAAUGUAGACUCGCCAUUGGGACCGCUCUGGCUAGAAUAUGCCUUGAACAACAAACACAUCGGAGUUGGCCAUUGCAAACUGAAUCCAUCUAUUUGCUCUUCAACGAAGCAGCAUAAACGAAAGUUCAGGAACCUUUUUCCCCAUGAAAUAGCUCGAAAUGUCUGAAUGGAUAGUAAUGUCAAAAUACCGCGGGCCGAAUUCCCUUGUUGGAGGCCCAGAUGUUAUCCUUAGUUUGGGUUUUGUUCUUUUUUGUUAUGUGGAUAAAUUCAAGAGACCGUCCAGAGUGGUAAUUGUCUCUAUGCUCUCGUUUCUAUUCGCUCAUCCAAGUUGCAAUUAAUGGUCAGUCAAAAUUAUUCCUGUUCCAGCUGCAGCUUCUCAAUCUCAUUCAAAUUGAAGUCGCGAGCGCGUGUAUUUAAUGAAUGAAGAGUAUCCUUCAGUUCCAUCUCAAUAGCAGAUUCAUGUGGUGGUGUGUACCCGCACAUCAAAAUAAGCAACAAUAAUAGAUUCUGUAUACGGUAAUCUUGCUCGAAGUUCUCUAGUACACCAAAAGAUUAUCAUUGAGGCAUGACAAGUUAAGGCAUCGUCCGCAUGUUUGGCUGUUA